ACAUGAUGUCUCAGAUCUGCUCCUUCCCAUGGUUCUGGGGAGAGGAAAACCUGAGACUGGAGAAGGAACAACGGCGCAAGCAAUGGCAACGCAGAGCCAGUUACGGCAUGUGGACUAAAAGUUCCCCGAGAGGAAGGAGACUGCAGCUCGGGUAGCCACUUGCCUCCUCCGGAAGAUACAGGUGGGCAUAUCCUCAGACUGUCCUGAGCCCUGUGUUGGAGAAAGAACACGACCCCAGAGUGAUAACAGUCUCCUCAGGAGGAACGUUGGUUCAGAAAUUGAACACCAAUGAUCUACCGUCAGAAAGGACAGUGUUUAGUGGAACUAUGGUCUCUGCACAAAACAAAAGUCUGCCAGCACUUCAGGGCAGGGACUGCUUCAUUACACGUCUCAGACCUCCUGAGGUGAGCACUGCACGGCACUUGCCAUAACCAGAGUGUAGCUCCACAGACACAUCUCGGGAUACGUGUUUAUAAAAUUUGACGCUUGUGAAAAAUGGAUGGAACCAUCUCCACUGCUCACUUAGAGCUCUGAAUCACUCAGUAAGAUUUAAAACAGUCAACAAGUACUGAGAGCCCA